GGAAAAGGCCAAGCAAAGAAGGGCAUAAGGCGGAUGCCUUGGCACUGGGAGCCGAAGAAGGACGUGACAAGCUGCGAAAAGCUGCGGGGAGGAGCACAUAUCCGAUGAUCCGCAGAUAUCCGAAUGGGGGAACCCGCCUGGGGUAAUGCUCAGGCAUAGUCAUAUGAGUAAAGUAGUAUGACAUAAGGAAACGCGGGGAACUGAAACAUCUAAGUACCCGCAGGAAGAGAAAGCAAACGCGAUUUCCCAAGUAGCGGCGAGCGAACGGGAAAGAGGCCAAACCGGGUGCUUGCACCCGGGGUUUCGGACCAUCAGAAGACAGUAACAUCCUAGUGGAACAUGACUGGAAAGUCAGAGCGAAGAGGGUAAAACUCCCGUAGACGAAAGGAUGAGCUGCAGGAUGGGAUCCAGAGUAGGGCCGGACACGUGAAACCCGGUCUGAAGAAGGGGGGACCACCCUCCAAGCCUAAAUACUACCCAGUGACCGAUAGAGAAGAGUACCGUGAGGGAAAGGUGAAAAGAACCCCGGGAGGGGAGUGAAAGAGAACCUGAAACCAUAUGCCUACAAUCGGAGGGAGCGAAAGUGACCUCGUACUUUUUGUAGAACGGGCCAACGAGUUAUGGUGUGCAGCGAGGUUAAGGUGCUGGAGCACCGGAGCCGAAGGGAAACCGAGUCUUAACCGGCCGCAGUUGCAUGCUGUAGACCCGAAACCGGGUGACCUAUCCAUGUGCAGGUUGAAGUGUCCGUAAAAGGACAUGGAGGACCGAACCCGUAUCUGUUGAAAAAGGUUGGGAUGACGUGUGGAUAGCGGUGAAAUUCCAAUCGAACCCGGAGAUAGCUGGUUCUCCCCGAAAUAGCUUUAGGGCUAGCCUCGUGGAAAGAUGCCUGGGGGUAGAGCACUGAAUGUUCUAGGGGCCUUCACCGGUUACCGAAAACUAUCAAACUCCGAAUACCAGAGCAUCAUACACGGGAGUCAGACCAUGUGAGAUAAGUUUCAUGGUCGAAAGGGAAACAGCCCAGACCGCCGGCUAAGGUCCCGAAAUUCAGGUUAAGUGGAAAAGGAUGUGGGGUUGCUUAGACAGCUAGGAUGUUGGCUCAGAAGCAGCCAUUCAUUCAAAGAGUGCGUAAUAGCUCACUAGUCGAGUGACCCUGCGCCGAAGAUGAACGGGGCUGAAACCUGAUACCGAAGCCGCGGAUACUGAGAAGUAUGGUAGGGGAGCAUCGUGUGCAGGCAGAAGCGGAAUUGAAAGAGACCGUGGACAGUACACGAGAGAGAAUGUUGGCAUGAGUAGCGCAAGGCAGGUGAGAAUCCUGUCCACCGAAAAUCCAAGGUUUCCUGAGGAAGGUUCGUCCACUCAGGGUUAGUCGGGUCCUAAGGCGAGGGCGAAAGCCGUAGUCGAUGGAUAACAGGCAGAGAUUCCUGUACCACCGAAGGUCGCAGAGUGAAGCGGGGACACGGAAGGAUAGACUGAGCGCGCCGCUGGUCGAGCGCGUCCAAGCGUUGAGGGAGCAUGAGCAGGGAAGUCCGUUCAUGUGGAACUGAGGCGUUAAGGGGAGGCAAGAGAGCCGGAAGCAGUUGAUUUCACGCCGUCAAGAAAAGCCGCUGGCGAGACCCAAGGUGCCCGUACCGCAAACCGACACAGGUAGAUGAGGAGAGAAUCCUAAGGUGAGCGAGAGAACCAUUGUCAAGGAACUCGGCAAAAUCACCCCGUAACUUCGGGAGAAGGGGUACCACGGAGACGUGGUCGCAGUGAAAAGGCCCAGGCAACUGUUUACCAAAAACACAGGUCUCUGCGAAAGCGAAAGCUGAAGUAUAGGGGCUGACGCCUGCCCGGUGCUGGAAGGUUAAGGGAAAGUGUCAGAGCAAUCGAAGCACGGAACUGAAGCCCCAGUAAACGGCGGCCGUAACUAUAACGGUCCUAAGGUAGCGAAAUUCCUUGUCGGGUAAGUUCCGACCCGCACGAAAGGCGUAAUGAUCUGGGCGCUGUCUCGACAAUGGACUCGGUGAAAUUGUAGUGCCGGUAAAGAUGCCGGCUACCCGCAGCAGGACGGAAAGACCCCAUGGAGCUUCACUGCAGCCUGAUAUUGAGCCUCGGCGCUGCAUGUACAGGAUAGGUGGGAGACUGUGAAUUAAGUACGCCAGUAUUUAAGGAGUCAUCGUUGGGAUACCACCCUUGCAGCGUUGGGGUUCUAACCGUGCGUCGUAAGCCGGCGCCGGGACAGUGGCAGGCGGGCAGUUUGACUGGGGCGGUCGCCUCCUAAAGAGUAACGGAGGCGCCCAAAGGUUCCCUCAGCGCGGACGGAAAUCGCGCGAAGAGUGCAAAGGCAGAAGGGAGCUUGACUGCGAGACAAACAGGUCGAGCAGGGACGAAAGUCGGGCUUAGUGAUCCGGUGGUUCCGAGUGGAAGGGCCAUCGCUCAACGGAUAAAAGCUACCCUGGGGAUAACAGGCUGAUACCCCCCAAGAGUUCACAUCGACGGGGGUGUUUGGCACCUCGAUGUCGGCUCGUCUCAUCCUGGGGCUGGAGUAGGUCCCAAGGGUUGGGCUGUUCGCCCAUUAAAGAGGUACGCGAGCUGGGUUCAGAACGUCGUGAGACAGUUCGGUCCCUAUCCGCUGUGGGCGUUGGAGAUCUGAGUGGGGCUGUCCUUAGUACGAGAGGACCGGGACGGACUUGCCUCUGGUGCACCAGUUGUUCUGCCAAGGGCACAGCUGGGUAGCUACGCAGGGACGGGAUAAGCGCUGAAAGCAUCUAAGUGCGAAGCCCUCCACGAGAAGAGAUCUCCCCCGCAAGGUAAGGUCCGUGGGAGACUACCACGUUGAUAGGUCGGAGGUGUAAGUACGGCAACGUAUUGAGCUGACCGAUACUAAUAGACCGAAAGCUUGGCCG
rnacentral:rRNA from 1 species